UACGUAGGGGGCAAGCGUUGUCCGGAAUCAUUGGGCGUAAAGCGCGUGUAGGCGGUUCGGUAAGUCGGCUGUGAAAGUCCAGGGCUCAACCCUGGGAUGCCGGUCGAUACUGCCGGACUAGAGUUCGGAAGAGGCGAGUGGAAUUCCCGGUGUAGCGGUGAAAUGCGCAGAUAUCGGGAGGAACACCAAUGGCGAAGGCAGCUCGCUGGGACGUUACGUGACGCUGAGACGCGAAAGCGUGGGGAGCAAACAGGG
rnacentral:rRNA from 1 species